AGUCGAACGGCAGCAUGAUCUAGCUUGCUAGAUUGAUGGCGAGUGGCGAACGGGUGAGUAAUACAUCGGAACGUGCCCUGUAGUGGGGGAUAACUAGUCGAAAGAUUAGCUAAUACCGCAUACGACCUGAGGGUGAAAGUGGGGGACCGCAAGGCCUCAUGCUAUAGGAGCGGCCGAUGUCUGAUUAGCUAGUUGGUGAGGUAAAGGCUCACCAAGGCGACGAUCAGUAGCUGGUCUGAGAGGACGAUCAGCCACACUGGGACUGAGACACGGCCCAGACUCCUACGGGAGGCAGCAGUGGGGAAUUUUGGACAGUGGGGGCAACCCUGAUCCAGCAAUGCCGCGUGUGUGAAGAAGGCCUUCGGGU
rnacentral:rRNA from 1 species